CCUGGAGAAAGAUAAAACGACAAAUUCACCAUCCUGCUAAGUUCAUAAACGUAUAAACAUGAUGGAGCUCCAGCUUUAGCCCCACACUUCAAAAUUUGCAAUACACACAAUGGUCACCAAAUCUCUGAACACUAAAACAACACAAAAUAUAUUUCAUAGAACUUCACUAGUUUUGAAUCAUUUCAAGGAGAGACAAAAGCUCAAACCUCAACAAAUCUAGCCCAAAAUCAAGCAAACCAAAAUUUUAAAAUUUCAACUAUGGCCUCAAUAGACUUGUUAGUUAACGAGGCCAAAACUAUAAAGUGAUAAACUAGUCCAAAACUAUAAAGUGACAUUAUCUAUAAAAACUUCAAACUGAUUUUAGAUCCGUAAAAAUUAAUUUCUGCAUUUCUGAACGAUCAGUUUCACAAUUUAUGCACUUCUGCAAGAUUAUUUUCAAAUUUUCUUUGCACUUCUGUAAGGUCAGUUUCAAAAUUUCUACCAAAUUAAUUUUAAAAUUCCAGCACUAUGAAAAGAUCAGUUUCAAAAUUUUUAGUACUAGUAGAGAUAAUGAUGUAGGAGGAGGAAGAAUAGAGACAAGAGAAAGAAAAAUACAAAGAAGAAUGUGCAGAGAGAGAAAGACAUGGGUAGAAAGGAGAAGAAAGAGAUAGAAAUUGACCAAGGAGAAAAAAAAAGGACAUAAAACUAAAACGUAAAAAUAAGAAUAUAGAGACUUAGAGUAAAAUUAUAAACAGAAAAGCAAUUAAAAAAUAAUCAUAACAUUGCAUAUGACGUGAAUAUGUUUAAUCUCUCUCUCAAAUAAAUAAAAAAGUUGCUCUCUCUCAAAAUAUAAUCUUAUCUAAAUUACAUGAUAACAAAAUCUCUCCCCCUAAAGAAAGGAAAAAAAUAAUGUAAUUUUUUUAUCACAAAAUAAAAUCAUGAUAAUAAUGUAACUUUGAAUAAACGAAAUUUUUAGGUUUUCUGUUUUUUUUCUUCACCCACCCACAUUAACCUAACAUAUCUCUAAAUUUAAAAAAAAAAAAAAUAUAUAUAUAUAUAUAUAUAGAUAAACUUGUUCACGUUUCUCCGUCUUCCCUAUACUUUCCAACUAAAAAAUCUUGUAUAUUUACGCUCACAUUGUGUUUCAUCUACUGUAUAUAUAUUAACCAAGAAAAAACAAAUUCUCCAGCUCGUCGAGAGCUCUCUCUCCAACUCGUCGACCUCUCUCCCUCCAACUUGUCGAGCUCUCUCCCAUUGCUUUUCCGUCGAUUUUGAUAUGAGCUAGAGGUUAGAAGCUACGAUUUCAGAGAUAUUCUACUUUCAAUACAAUUUCGACUCGUUUCCCACUAGUCUAGUACGAAUUCGAUCUGCAGAGGACUCUGUUAGGGUUUUGUUCUGUUGAGAUUCGAGAGAUUUGAGGCUGCGAUUUCGAAUAUUGGAGCUUCGAGUUCAGAGGUUUGAGACCGCGAUUUCUGGUUGUUAAUACUUGCCUUAACGAAUUUAAUUUGGUUAGAUUUACUGGGAUGGAGUUUGGGUUAAAGUUGCAGCCUACGGUGUCUUAAAACAUUUUUAGUUUUGGACAAAAUUCUGUGAACCCCGACUGAUGAUAAAACAGUAGUCCUACAGGAACAGAGGAGGAGUAGUUGCUUUACAUGUUCAUCCAAAUGAUGUAGUUCUUUGAUCACCUUGUAGAAAUUUAGUACUUAUAAUCUCAUUUCUCCUUGUAGGUUUAUAUAUCCGGAUAAAACCAAGUUUUUAGGUAAUUAAUGUUGAAUUCAUAUAUCCGAAUAAAAUUAAGGCCUGGAUUUAACUGAAAAGGUACACAUCAUGCCUUUCUUUUGGAUGCUCGACUUUUGUGGUUUCCAUGUUUUUGUGAUUUCUAGAAUAUUAACCCUUCAAUGUAUAAUCCUAUUCAUUUUUGUUCUCAUUUAUCAACAAAUUGCUGAGGAGGCAAUGAUCCUAUUGAUUCCACGUUAUCCUUCGAUGUCAGUCCAAAGUUACAAGUAAACCGAGAUUGAAAACUAAUAUUGUAUUACUGAGAAGAGCAUAUUGGAGAAGCUUUUCUCCAUUGCUGGCAUUUGACUUUAUCUUGUAGAAACGACUUACAAUUGAUUUGAUUAGCUUUAUGAUAUUUCCGUUUUUUAUUGAUGAUAUUUUUAGAUUUUAGUUAACAGAAAAGCAACUGUAAGUGGUAGAAUGGAAGAUAUUAGUCCUUGAUUUGAAGUUGUGAUAAGUAGAUUUUUGUUACAGUCGCUAGUUGUUACCAAUCGAGUUUUAGUAGUUACUAAUUUUUUUUUUUAUCAUAUACUAGCAUAUGGCCACACACUAAGUGUGUAUGAAAACUUUUUAUUUUUGUUUUUAAAGUAGAAUGAGAGAGGAAGAGAGAAUGUGAGAGUAGGGAGAGAGACUUAAUUUUUAUUUUUUUAAUUAGAGAUUUGGGUAAGGUUUUGAAAUAAAAAAAAAAAAAACAAAAUUUUGAUUGUUUGAAGUUACAAUUCUGUCCAUAUUUCUUAUUCAUGUUCAGUUUUAAGUAGAGGGUUAAGCUGUGAAUUUCAUAAAAGUUUGUUUGACAUGAGUGUUCUAGUAAUAUGUAGUUUAGAUAUAUAUAAAAUAAAAUAAAAAGCCAGAAAGGCAAACGCAAGAUAAUAGAUCAAACAAGUUUUCGGUUUGCAAACUGAAAUGGUCAUCAAACAGCCUCUUAGUUUUAGAUAUUAGUAAAGUGCAAACAAAUAUGUACGUACCCAAACUCCUAAUUAAUCAGAAAUGCGAAUCAUCUGAAUCGGACGGUUGCUCUUGCUCCUCAUCCUCCUCAGUAUCAAAAGGAACAUUGGGAUCAAUCUGCCAGCGUUUUGGACGAUCAUCUGCUGGCUCCAAAGAUGAGGAAAGUCAUUGUUGUUGCUGAUCAUAUUUAUCAUUGACAAUAUCUCAGGAUCCACAUGGACGAGGCCUUAUCCCAAGACUGCUCGUUGGUCUCAGAGACAAGUGAAGCUGCUCUUCAUCCUCC